rnacentral:rRNA from 1 species
GACGAACGCUGGCGGCGUGCUUAACACAUGCAAGUCGAACGGAAAGGCGCUGACCUUGUGGGGUGCUCGAGUGGCGAACGGGUGCGUAACACGUGAGUAACCUGCCCUUGACUUUGGGAUAACUUCAGGAAACAAGGGCUAAUACAGGGUAGGAGCUCCUGCUGCAUGGUGGGGGGUGGAAAGGUUCGGCGGUUGGGGCUGUACGUGCGGCUUAUGAGCCUGAUGGUGGGGUAGUGGCGUACCAAGGCUUGGAAGGGUAGCCGGCCUGGGAGGGUGACCGGCCACAGUGGGACUGGGGUAGGGGCCGGACUCCUACGGGAGGCAGCGGUGAGGAACAUUGCCCACUGGGCGGAGGGCUGAAAGAGCGACGCCGCGUUGUGGAUGACGGCCUGCGGGGUGUAAACCGCUUUCACCUGAGAGGAAGCGUGAGUGACGGUAAUGGGUAAAGAAGCACCGGCUAACUACGUG